rnacentral:rRNA from 1 species
CGAACGGGUGAGUAACACGUGAGGAACCUGCCCCGGACUCUGGGAUAACUCGAGGAAACUCGAGCUAAUACCGGAUGUACUGAUCUCUCAUAAGGGGGAACAGGAAAGAUAGCUUCGGCCUUCGCAUCGCGUCUGGACCGCGGCGCAUUAGCUUGUUGGUGGGGUAACGGCCUACCAAGGCGACGAUGCGUAGCUGGUCUGAGAGGACGAUCAGCCACACUGGGACUGAGACACGGCCCAGACUCCUACGGGAGGCAGCAGGGGGGAAUCUUGCGCAAUGCGCGAAAUCGUGUUUUUUUCACCGCCCCGUGGACGAAGAAGGUCUUCGGGUUGCAAACCCCUUUC